UACGAAGGGGGCUAGCGUUGUUCGGAAUCACUGGGCGUAAAGCGCACGCAGGCGGAUUGAUAAGUCAGGGGUGAAAUCCCGGGGCUCAACCUCGGAAUUGCCUUUGAUACUGUCUGUCUUGAGUUCGGGAGAGGUUGGCGGAAUUCCUAGUGUAGAGGUGAAAUUCGUAGAUAUUAGGAAGAACACCAGUGGCGAAGGCAGCCUCCUGGGCCAGCACUGACGCUCAUGCACGAAAGCGUGGGGAGCAAACAGG
rnacentral:rRNA from 1 species